UUCCUCUCAGCGGGGGCUGACACUCUUGGUCCUUGGCGGUCUGGCUCCUGAGCCUUUUCUUUUUAUUCCUAGGGGAGGCCCGACACCAGCCUUACACUGACGGCAUCUCUAUUUUUUCUCUUUGCGUCCCCCUUAAAAUCAGCGAGCGGCUGCGUGGCCCUGGCGAGCCCCCUUCUCUUUCUUUGGGGUGCCAUGCCGUGUCCCUGCGCCCUUCCCUUCUCUAUUCUUUCUCUCGUGUCCUCUAGAGCCUUAAAAUAAAACGUUGUUUACUUUUAUAUCUUAACCUCUGAGCGAGAGAUCUUUCUCCACCUGUGCCGUGAGCACCUGCCAGCCUUUCCACCUGCCUCAUUUGGUGUCCCCCCCCCCCCGGGGACUUUUCCCUGCCCGCCCCCUCGGAGAAGUCAAUUUUCUCCCCCAUGAGGGAACUGGCUCAUUCUCUCAUUUCUCCUCCUGCAGAUGGGGAGCCGCUUCCGUCCCGAACGCUCCUCUGUGCAUCGGGGACAUCCUUCAAAUCGUUCAGGACUCCGAGAGUCACUCGGUCCCUGGAAACUCUGGGAACGGCCACAGGCACAAGGCGGAGAGUGGCAGCUUUCUUGUUUGGUCGAGGGAAACCCGGCGCUGGAUCCCGACACCAGGGAGGGACCGUGCAUCUUGGCGAGGCGCUUCAUCUCCCAGUCGGCCCCGAUGCUCAGCGUAAGCUCCAAAAACUCGGGAAGGGACCUCGGCCUGCCUCCACGUGCGGAACUUCAGACCUGGCCUUCUCGGUGGUUCCUAACCGGGACGGGCAGAGGCGAGGGGAGCAGAGGGUGGGGUUGACAGCAGCCCCGAAAGCAGCACAGGCUCUCAGAUGGCGGCUCUGCCGUGGAAGGGGCUCCCCAGAGACGGGGAGUAGCAUUACGGGCUCGUGCAAGAGGACAUCAGGACUGCGACCCUCUCCGGGAACUGCACCCUGCUUUAGCUGUCCCCCACUGGGUCCCUGGAGUGGACAAUGGCCCAGGAAGUGGGCUCCGCCAGGACCCUGCCCCCUCUGA
rnacentral:lncRNA from 1 species